GUGCUUGCCUCGCUUCGGCAGCGCGUGUACUGAAAUGGGAACAGCACAGAGGAGAUUAGCGUGGUCCCUGCACAAGGAUGGCACGCAGAUUCGGGAAGUGUCCGUAUUU